rnacentral:lncRNA from 1 species
UCUUGCGUACAAUGUUGCAUGAAAGUGCUGAUGCACAAAUUAAAUUUUCGGUUAAUAUAUGGAAAUUUUUGGCAAAUUUUGUAAAUAUUAUGCCGAUUGUUAUGUACAUAUUUUUAUUUUUGUAAUUAUUUAUUAUUUUAAUUUGUACUUUGUUGUUGUCUUAAAAUUUGCAUGAAGAUUACAAACAUUUUUUGCACACAAUCGUGAGAGCCAUACACACACUGAUACGAAUGGUAAUGAUAACGAAGUAAAGUGGAAAAGGAGAUCUUCGACAUUCGCGCGUGUUGAUACAUAUCAACCGUCACUUGGUGUGACUCGGUACGAUUGUAAAAGAAUUUAUUGUGUAAAUAAUUAUUCUGGAAUUUGAUUUUCUGAAUUUUGUAAAUAUUUUGCAUGCUGUAAUAAUGUAGAAAUUGCAUGCUUGUUUGAAUUUUAAUUUGUAAAUAUUUAUUUUGUUUAACUUGUACAUAUAUUUUUGUAAUUUAAAUGUUGUCAAUGUCGGUUAAUGUAUCAGGAUUGGAGUUCGCUGGAGACCGGAGUUGAAAUAUACGUUGAUGGUCAGUAACAGGUUACGGCCUUGAAACUGAGAGGAGUCGACUUAGGUUGACGAUGAUAACUUAUGACCCCGACCCAUAGUCCCUGAUAUAAGUGUUGUCAACUUGUGUAUUCAGACUUGACUUAGUACUGAGGUCUAAAUAUUCAACUAUUUCCGGUUACUUUGAGUUAAAACACAGAUGUGCAGUCAUUUUUUUGUUCUUGUUUCGUGGUUCAGAGGUAAGCUAGUGUUCACAGUUUACAGUGAAUAAUAUAAAAUGAAUAUUCGUUCUAGUGUUUUCCAAAAAAAAAUAUUAGUUCUAAUAUUUUUUUUACCCGAGCGAGGGGAGAGUGUAACCAGUGGUUCGGUUAGCUUCAAGAGUGGUGAGACUGUUGUUCCGCGACGCGUAAAUUAGCAUGCCGAAAGGGAACCCUGUGAAAGCUGGAGAGCGGAACAUCCCCACUCGAGUAGCUGUCCAACGCCAAUGGACGCUACCAACGCUGCACGCUGGAGUAGUUGCGCUAGUCACCACCAGAAAGCGCCACGAGAAGGACAAUGGAUUCGUUAGGGCGAAAUAGGAUGAGAAUGGGGCGAAACGGGAAGGAUGGAUGAGGUUGAGGAUCGCUGGAGAAACUGCGCCAUUGGAUCGGUCACUUGCCUGGUAAUUUAAGAAGUGGACGGUCGAACCAGCUACGUUCGCCGUCAAGUGAGAGUGAAGUGGAACCGGCGCGGAAGACCGGAAGAAAAGGGUCCGUCGAUCGGAAGAUCCGGACGAGCUGCAGGAGAACCUGCGCAGAAACUGGACAACCAGACCCCUCGGUGUGUACGCUUCGCGUACCGAUCGGCCAGCCCAACCCUGGGUGCCGGAAGCCCGUGUGACCCACACGACACCCGCAGUGUCCCCUACGGCGAUCGUCACGUCAGACGAUCGCAACUCUACACCGUUCCGGUGUGGGAACUGCCGGUCGCGACGCCGCCAUUUUGUUCCGAGGAACAUCCCAGUCGCGACCAUAACCGCCACCGAAUCUGCCAUCCGUUACAACCCGACGACGCCGGAAACCAGGCAAUCCGGUGGACUUGUCCACCGAAGUCCUGGGUCCGUCAACAAACCCAGGAGCGUCGAGGCAGAAGGCGAGGAGAGGGUCCGAGUACGAGCUCAAGCAGCUGACCGUGAGCACGAAGAGCAGAAGAAGGCGUUCCGCUCCGGUGGAGUGUGCCCCGGAUGCGUGGAGGCGACAACGACGGCGAGUAGCAGAAGCCGGCGAGAACGAGCAGCGGCAGCAGUGACAGUUCCGGAAAGGGGCCCCAAGGAAGAAGGAAGAAGAGGACGUGUGAGGUAGGACUAGAUUAAGGAAGUGGGAAGGACAAGGAAGUGCAGCUUGAGUCUGCCAAAUAGAACUAUCGCGCGAGUACCGCAAUAAAGUGGGUGUUUGUUCAACGGUA